rnacentral:tRNA from 1 species
GUCCCCCUCGUCUAGUGGUUAGGACACCGGGUUUUCAUCCCGGCAACGGGGGUUCGACUCUCCCGGGGGAUG